rnacentral:lncRNA from 1 species
AGACUCUGUCCUUGGUCACCUCAAUGUUUAUGCCUAGGGUCCAGGAGGGAGGCCAUGUGGUCCAACUACGUGGGCACUAUCUCACCAAGGCUAAUCUAGCUACUUCUGUUGCUGACUGUCUGACUGGUGCUGAGCUCUUGACAUGGCACCAUCCCCUGAGAAAACCAACCAGCGCCUUGAAGCUGGCUCAGAUUUGGGUAUUUAGUGGGAGUUGGUGAGAGGUAGGUUGGAAUGUCCAUUGAAAAGGAUUUAGGAUUUUGGUUCUGAAACAGAAUGGGCAGACUCACUUUUCCUUACUCCUCCUUUCUAAAAACAACUAAACACCCUGGAAAUUAUCCCACAGAAAACGAUAAAAUGACUCUAAAAGUUGGGUAAAAGAAGGUGGAUUGGCCAGAGACCUCAGGACAGGAGGAAAGAUAAUAUAGUGAGUUCCUCAGGUUUUUUUUUUUUUAUCUCUCAUGUAGCCUGACUGGGUGUCAGAGAGGUCUGCAACCAGCACCUCCAACAGGGCAUACUCUUUUUUUUUUUUUUUUUCUGAGACCAAGUCUUGCUCUAUUGCCCAGGCUGGAGUGCAGUGUUGUGGUCUCGGCUCACUGCAAGCUCAUGUUUCAUAAAUUAACAUCAGUGCUUCAAAAGCAAUCCCAUAAAAAUGCCUCAACAAUCAAUGUCAAGUCAUUGAUUUACAGAACAUUAACUGUUAGAAUCGGGAGACUGGGAUGCCACACCCACUAGCUGUGUGACCUUGGGCAAGAUUUCCAGCCUUGCUGGGCACUGAUUUCUCUGUCUGCAGAGUGGACGUUGGGCAGACUAUGCAGCAGCGCACUGGUGGGUCCCAUGGGUUGUCCACCCAAUAACUAUGUCCCUUGUGUGCUAACAGAACCCUGACUCCAGGUAGACGAUCAAGGACUUCAGCUAAAAAUAGACAUGUUCCAGCCUCCCUUGCAGUGAAGAUACCCUGCACGCACACUUCUGCACAAUCCAAGUACAAGAGGUUCCUGUCCCUUCCAGAAAAAAACAGGAGACCCUUGCUGGGAGAAAGCCCUUUACCUCCUGCCCUUUCCCCUUCCUGCCUGGAUCUCGAUCUGAGAUCUGCAGCUGCAGCGAGUAUCUGGCAACCAGGAAGAGACCAGCAAUAGAACGGUGGGAACCAGCCAUUGCACAAGCAGCCUCCACCCUUCAGAGGAAUGAAUUCCUCUCCAUUUCGGCCAACACCACGGAAUACACUGGAAAGAAGAUGAGAGGUUGGUGUUCUGAUGUUACUAGGCCCUCGUUUUCUCUGGCUCACUGGCUUUUAGAGCUGGAAGGGCCCUGUGCAUGAUGUAUUCUCUAAACCCGUCCUAGAGCAAGCAAGAAGGUGGGUUGGUCAUGCUGUCCUCUGGGGCAGGCCGUCCCAGUUUACACUCCCACAACAGAGUAUGGGAAUCUCUGCGUAUGCUGGGUUUGUCCCACAAAGGAAAUAGAUGAGGGAGCACAGACAGUGAAGGCCAACCAAAUAGUCAACCCCGCCUCUCACUUCCAAG